UUUGAUCAAAAAACACAAGUCUUUACCGUUAAAAAACUCACAAACCAAAACAUAAAAUUGUUUAAAAGUAAUACAAGCCAACAAUCUCAAACACAAAGUCAACGACUCGACAUAUCGUUGGCCACUAAUUCUGCCAAGUCGGCCACCAUUUCAUCUAAUAGCCUCAACUGCAAAUCAAAAAACAAAUAAUAGUUACUCUUGUGUUACCAUUUCUCAACAACCAAACAAAGCCUAUGCAUACUCAUUGGAUUUGGAAUAAAAAUGAACAAGCUGAUCCAGGACCUAUAAUCAGUAGUAACUAUGAAUGCCAGGGGUAGGAGCAGCAACAUAAAAAAUGUAUGUUUACCUUAAGAUAGAUGCAUUUGAAACUCCACAACACAUUUUUUUCAUCCUCUGUGAUAACUGAAAAUGCACAAAAAGAAUGGGACUCGAAGAAAGGACUGAGAGAGAGAGGAUUGACCCCACGAAAUCAAACCAUUAGAGCCCAAAUUUCAGUUGCCGAACAUCGAAUCGAAGAAGAAGAGAGUUCAUUCACCUGCCAUUCAGUACUGAGAAUCAAGAUCCAUCCAGAAUCGAUUAAAGAAAAAUAGUCAAAAAGGGGACUCGAAGUCAAUAGAUUUUUUUCAAGGUUGAUUCUCGGUAAUUCCAAAAAUCGAAUCGAAAUCACACGGAAAGAUUCAGAAAUCUUCAAUUCUAUGAAAAUAUAAGAACUAAAAACUAUGAAAAACAACGGGUACAAAACUUCUAAAACUAAAAAGUAUAAUUGUAGUCAACACUCUUAAUACCUUGAAUUAAG
rnacentral:lncRNA from 1 species